AAACCUUAGUUAUCCAAUUUGGGCUGGGAUGGGGAAGUGGGCACUCAGGAUCACUGGUUAGUGUGUAGAAAUGGAAAUCCCUGGUCCUCGACAUAGAGAUUUUGAUUGAGUCAGCUUGGCUUUUCUGCCUUUGCGUUUGCAUCAGUCCGGCAUCUGAACAACCAACUUGUAAAGAGGAAAAUCUCUCAGUCCUUCUGCGUUCUGUCCCGUGCAGCAGCUGAAGACCUCCAACUUGUGCCUCUCAGUGAGGCCGCGGAGAUCACAGGAGUGGACUAGGGUUACAUCCGGGUAGCUGGACUACUUAGCAAACUGUGACCAACAAAAACCAAUAAUAACCAACCAACAAACAACCAACAACGGACAACCCCACCUCUCAGCCCCCCCCUUUUUUUCUAUCCUUUGAAAACUUUCCAGCAUUCUAGACAUCACACAAUCACAAAAGCUAUCUGCAAGUGUCAAAAUCUGCCCAGGCCAGAGCCUGAGGAAAAUCACAGUCAGCUGCUUUGUACAAGCUGAGGCAGCUCCACACCCCAUACCUGGAAUUAAAAUAAAAGCAAACUCCUGUGCUUUUUAAAAGAAA